rnacentral:rRNA from 1 species
UGGGAGAGUUUGAUCCUGGCUCAGAUUGAACGCUGGCGGCAGGCCUAACACAUGCAAGUCGAGCGGUAGAGAGAAGCUUGCUUCUCUUGAGAGCGGCGGACGGGUGAGUAAUGCCUAGGAAUCUGCCUGGUAGUGGGGGAUAACGUUCGGAAACGGACGCUAAUACCGCAUACGUCCUACGGGAGAAAGCAGGGGACCUUCGGGCCUUGCGCUAUCAGAUGAGCCUAGGUCGGAUUAGCUAGUUGGUGGGGUAAUGGCUCACCAAGGCGACGAUCCGUAACUGGUCUGAGAGGAUGAUCAGUCACACUGGAACUGAGACACGGUCCAGACUCCUACGGGAGGCAGCAGUGGGGAAUAUUGGACAAUGGGCGAAAGCCUGAUCCAGCCAUGCCGCGUGUGUGAAGAAGGUCUUCGGAUUGUAAAGCACUUUAAGUUGGGAGGAAGGGUUGUAGAUUAAUACUCUGCAAGUUUGACGUUACCGACAGAAUAAGCACCGGCUAACUCUGUGCCAGCAGCCGCGGUA